rnacentral:lncRNA from 1 species
AUCGACUGAAUGAGAUAAUUUGAAUCGUUAAAAAUUUAGAAUUAUACAUGAAAACAGAUGCCUGCGACCCCUGUUGUUUCGAUUAGCAUGUUUUCUAAAGAUAUCCGCGUGAAGUUCACAAAUUUCAUCGUGUAUUUGAUCACCUGUUGUGAAUUUCAGAUAACACUGUCAAGUUCAGUCAAACUCGUGGUUAAAACUUUCCUUUACAUAUCAGUAAUAUUAUUUUCCGGGCAGGGUACUCCCCCCUUUUUUAUAUCAUACUCGGAACAUUAUUGUAUACACUUUUUCUGUGGUACUUUCUUUAUAUUUUUAGGCGGCAUGCAAUGAAAUUUUGGAAAAUUUGCUGAUUAGUUUGAGAAUAUCAGGGACAUAAAUUCAUUAGUAUGUGCUUCGAUUGGCUU